AGUCACUGCAGUUUGCAGGAGGAGGAGGAAUUCAUUACAGUAGUAUGUACUAACCGGGGUUAGAAGCCUUUCUAAAAAGUCCCCUCUGGAGACCAAAUCUCCACAUGCCGCUGUCUGAGAGUUAUGAUCUGAGAAAGGAAUGGCAAAAUGAUCCAGAAGCGAGAGAGACAGCUGACUGGCACUCACUUGUGUGAUCAUCACGUCUAAUGAGCUUCUUGCUUCGCAAUUUAAUUGACGACCAGAUGAUAGUGAGGCCAUCCACUCCUCCGCUGGCUGCGUGACGUCACCCUCAUCCAGCAGAGGGGCGUGGCGUCAGUCAAGGGUUUGAUUUGGACACCCCACGCCCCCUCUUCCUCCUCCACCAUAUCUAAAAUGUGAAUGGACAAGAGGAAGCAGCAAGGUGGGUGGUAGUGCACAUUGAGCUCGAUGAACAUUAAAUAUGUUGUCUUAGUAGCAUAUUCAAAUGAACAUGGG